rnacentral:rRNA from 1 species
UACGUAGGGGGCAAGCGUUGUCCGGAUUUAUUGGGCGUUAAAGAGCGUGUAGGCGGUUUGGUAGGUCCGCUGUGAAACUCGAGGCUCAACCUCGAGACGCCGGUGGAAACCAUCAGGCUAGAGUCCGGAAGAGGAGAGUGGAAGUUCCUGGUGUGAGCGGUGAAAUGCGCAGAUAUCAGGAAGAACACCCGUGGCUAAGGCGGCUCUCUAGUACGGUACUGACGCUGAGACGCGAAAGCGUGGGGAGCGAACAGG